AGCUUUGCACAGUGGCAGUAUUGUAGCCGAUGAGGUUUAUCUGAGGUGCGAUUAUUGCUAAUUGUUUGAAACCCCGUGCUAUGUGUUAGGCAGUCUGUACACAUUGUCUCGUUUCUUUUCAAUCUUUGAAAAA
rnacentral:snRNA from 1 species